rnacentral:ncRNA from 1 species
UCGGGUUGCUUGAGACUGCAGCCCAAAGCGGGUGGUAAAUCUCACCCAAGACUAAAUAUUCGUACGAGACCGAUAGCGAACAAGUACCGCGAGGGAAAGUUGAAAAGAACUCUGAAGAGAGAGUUCAACAGGACGUGAAACCGUUGACAGGCAAACGGAUGGAGCUGACGGUGCAAUUUUGACCAAAAUCAGUCGUCGCUGGGUUCGUUGGCGAAUGAAUCUUUUGCAAACUUGUUUGUGUAGAUUAUCUUUCGAUUCGAAUCUACGCACGGUGCACUUUUGGUCGAUCAGCGUCACGAGCAACGUUCGCAAAUGUUUUGCUGCCGACAGUAAUGCUGUUUGUUGUUUUUAAAAGCAACGAACAAUAAACGCGGCUUGUGGAAGAGGUAAUUGUGAUGAAAAGUUUUGCUUUUGUCUCAAUUGCCGUGCCAUUGCCGCAUCUCUCGGAUGAAUGUUGUUGUUGACAAGAUGAAAAGCAUUGUUCUGCGUUCAAUUGUAAUGGGUCUGUUGGUUCCGUUGCAUACAUCGCUGUCACUACAAUGAUCGACUGGUAAAUUAUUAAAAAUUUAAAAAAAUUAACGCAAAUAAUCUAACAACAAAAUGAAUACGUGCAAUUUAUUAUUUGAAUUGAUUUUUGUUUAUAUACCUAUACAUAUAGAUGUGUCAACGGACAAAUAGAAAAAUGAAUCAAUAUCAAUGGUUUGAUUUCAUUAUUAUUUUUAUAUUUUAGUUUUUUUAAUUUAAUGUUUUGAAAUGAAUUUUUAUUUAUGUUCAGCAUAAUUUAUAAUUGGCUUGUGGUGAAGGCAACGCUGAUGCCAAAGAACAAAAAAGAGCUU